UUUGUUAAAGCGCACUUAUGUUCUUCAAUAUGGAAACUCCAAUCACUUCACAAUCAGUUAGAAAUCUUCUCCAAUACGUCGUCUGAUCAAUCAAUCCUUAAAACCCUAAUUUCAAUUUCAUAUAUCUUGCAUGUUCUAUCACUCCAUCUGUCUGUUGAUGUAUACUAUGUUUUAUGUUCAUUUCGUGUUUUACAUCCUUCCAAUCGAGCACAAACGAAACCCUAAAUCGGCAUCAGAGAUUAAGGUUUUUCAAACUAUGAUAUUCAACACACAAAGCAAAUUUUUCAUGUAAUGUUAAGUCUUCCAUCCUCCAAUGAUUGUCGCCACACUUUGAUCAUUGCCACUUCCCCUUCAAUUUCGGUAUGUUUCUUCAUCCCUAACUGUGUUGUUUUGAACAUUUAUGACAAUUUUAUUCUUUGGUCUGAUUAAGUUUACGUCUGGGUUUACGCCUUUCUUCGGAUUGUGUUUUUUUUUUUUAUGAAUUGAAUAACUUUUCAAUGUUUGCAUAACUCGAUACAACACAAUCGUUUUUAGGGUUUUUUUAUGAUUAUGGUGUGUUGGUUUUAUGGCUGUUGUUCGGAUUUGAUGCUUCGAUGAUUGUCACAAGUUAGGGUUUCUAUUGAUGAUGUUUAAUAUUCUGAUAUUCGUUUAAUAAUCUGUGUUUUUUGAGUUCAGAAAGUAGCAACAGGUCUAUUCUUUGGAGGUCUUAUUUCAGCAUCAAUACCAUCAGUUGCUUAAUAAUGUUGUUAGUAUGUAUUAUGUGUCCAAAUUCGAAUGUCGUAUACUUAUAUAUUAAAGAUCUAAAGCGGGUCCACAGCUUCAGGUAUGUUAUUAUCGCUUUCCAUUUUUCUGAAGUGUAAAUAGGUUAUUAGGUUUUUUUCUAAUUGGUGAAACUAGAAAUGGGUCAACUUAGCUUAUGUACUUAUCUCAACAUAAUAACCUUCUGUUUUAAGUUAGGAACUGUUUGUUGUUCCUGAAGGUUAUUUGUUGUUCCUAAGCAUUGCAAGAUUACUAUAAUGAAUCUACUUUCUUUUGCCUUAUCACAUCUUGAUUGGCAUGUGUACGGUUUUGGAUUGCUUAUUAAACCUGCUGAUCUGAUUAUUUGUAAGCUGGGGUUCAAAGUAGUUUGACCCAUAAAACAUUCUUUACUUCUAGAAAACUAUGCUGCAUUCUAGAAUAGGUAAAAUUUUACUUUUACAGUUGGCAAAAUGGGCCGAUCAGUUAUUGACCCGUAAAACAUAUUUUAUUCAGUUUAACUAAAGAGUUGAUGCGUUAAAGAUGAUUACAAAAACCAUCUUUUUUGAAUAAAAUGAUUCAGAAGGUUGUAAGCCUAAAAAAUAGAAAAAAAUAAAAUAAAAAUAGUUGCUGAUCAGUGCCAGUUUUAUGCAGUUUGUAUUACUUGGCAAAUGUCGUUCCGACUUUAGCUAAAUUUUAUCAUCAAGCGAGUGAAUCAUAUGAACAAGCUUGCACGCGCCAUAUCAGUAUGAUUAUUCUAUCUAAGUUAACGGCUUCUAUUUAAUGCAAUUUGAGCAUCCUUUUCAAUUUGCUCGAAGAAUCGAAGAUUUGAUGUACACCAUCACUCCCGAAGAGAUUCCUUUCCAGCUUGGUUUACCGAAAAUGGAUCUCAGGAAGGUGGUGAAAUCAAGUUUAUCAGGAGUAAAGUUAUUAUAUAUAAUUAUUAAUAAAAAUAUUUUGGAAUAAUACAUAACAAUAUUUGAAAGUUAUUGUAUAAUUUAAAAAAAUAAUGACAUACUAUUUGCAUACACAAGUUGACAAGCACAUUGGUGAAUGGUGGGUCGAUGGCGCCGAUGUUUUUGGGUUAUUGGGAAGACCGUUAAUGAUGUUUGUUAGCGGCGAUAGUCGCCGAUCUGUAGAUCAUGAGUUGAUUUGGUCUCAAAUACACUGUAGGUGUGGUUUUAACCAAAAUCUGAUAAAAUCUCUUGCAUUAAAUCUUUUUAAAAUUGUUAUAGUAUAACAAGUGUGUGUUGGAAGCUUAUAGUUAGUUCACUCCCCUUUUCUUCAAGCAUAAAUUAUACGUGGGAAGUAUAUGUGGUUUAGCCUUCAUGAUUAAUAGGGUAUUGCAUAGCUGUUUGUUUCAGUUUCAUCGAUGUUAUUAUGUAUUUUAAUGUUGAUUAAAUGUGUUUUUAAGAAUUAUGUUUACUAUCAUCUUUUAUCUUCUAUCUUCUGCUUCAUGUUUUUUUGUAUUGAAUGAUAUAAUUAUUCCAGUUGUAUUUUGUAUCGACACUUUAGAGGAAAUUAUGUUUUUAUGAAUUUACAUUUCUAGUUCUCUAGUGAACUUAUAUAUGUGUACUUAUAAUGAGUGCUUGAUCCAGAAAUUGAUCGGAAGGAAGCUCGAGUAAAUGUUAUGCGUGCUGCAAUCUUUGAAACAUUUCCUGAACAACUAGGAGCUUGCUACAGAGCUGAUGUUUCUCUUCUUUUUUCUCUAUUUCAAAUGGGUCAAUUUUUAAAUAACUAACUAAAAGGGGAACGGGUAACGAGUCAUAUGGUUCGAAUGGUUCAAAAGCGCCUAAUGUGUGUAUUUAAUGUAUAUGACUGUUUAGGUUCGUUUUUUACAAAAAAAAAGAUUAUUAUUGUGAUAAUUCGAUUAUGUUGUUUUUGUAACUAUACUUAGUUCGUUUUUUCUUUGAAGUAUAAUAAUUUUUUUAACUUCAAAUUUUAUACUAAUUUAUCAAAUUUCUUAUUUUUACCAACAAUCUUUUUUACAAGGAUGCCCCCUCACCCUUCCAUGAAGAAGGAAACCACCCUCCUAAUUUUCUUCUGUUUCACUGAUGUGGUAUUUUUCUCUGCUCAGAUUUCCUCUUUGCUCUGGAGUUACUACUGUUCAACGAGAUAGUGGAUGAUUGGGGGUUUAAAGGGUGGUUGUGUUUAGAUGAUCUUCAAGUACAUAUCUAAUGAGGCUUAGUUUUUGAAGGCGUACGAUGAGUUGCGGCGGCUAUGGUGAUCGGAGGUUUUCUUUCUGCAACAUGCUCUUUCUUGCUUCUUCGAUUUUUCGCUUGAUUAGAGGAGAGAGAGAGAGAGAGAAAGGCACGCAAGGCGGGUCAAGAAACUCAUAAUGGGUAGUCUACGAUAUUCUCUCCUCAUCUUCUCACAUCGUGAGGUUUCAAAGGCCGAGAUGAUCCUGUAGCUUGGGCAAAUGAAGUUGGCAAUAGCUCGAGAACCACAUGAGAUAUUUCUAAUAAUUGGGAAACAAUCUUCCAAAGAACUCAAAAAAAAGUUGAAGUUCACUAAACCGCACGAUGACAACAGUAACCGACAGGCGAAGACGUUGCGGAUCUCCGAUGUAGAGUGCACGGUGGCUACUGGUAGUGAGUUGUCGAAGGAUGAAGUUGAUUUUGUGCAUUUGCUGGAACAGUGGGUUGAGAGGUUGAAUUCGUUUUCUUUUUUUUUUUUUUUUUUUUUUUGCUGCUGACAAAGAGGAAGACUAUAUUCUCAAAUUGAACCGAAGUUAAAAAGUCACACAGCGACUCAGCGAGGCAGAUGAACGAAGGAAAAUGGUGCUUAGUCAGAUAUUUUCAUCUCAAGCACGUGAAAGACGAAGGCGAAAAUUUGUAUGGAUUGCUUGCUUUUGUAGUAAAGUUGACUAUGUAGUUUGUAUGAUUAUUGGUAUCUAGCAAUGCCAUGAAGCAAUAUGAGAUAACCACGGAUUCUAGAUUUUUCGUUUAUGCUUGAUACGCCGUUUGUUUCCUUUUUACCGGAAAUGCAAAGUGCGGAUAGGAAGGUUCCCUUUAGAGAGAAGUUCAUAUACACUGUCAUCUCUCUUUUCAUCUUUCUGGUGUGCAAUCAGCUUCCUCGGUAUAUGAUACUCGGGUUAGACCAUUUUUUGCACAGUAAGGGUAUUUUAGUCAUUUCAAGCCAGACCUGUUGGUUUGCUUUUGGUCAUGUAAUUGUUAUAGUGCCAGCCUACUUGUGUGGAGUAUGUUAGGUAGUCAAAUAUCAUCACUUUGCCUUGAAGACAAAAAAUAUGAUGAAGUUGAUUGCUUUUUUGUUGCUGCAUUAUUGAAGGAAUGUGCCUUCUGGUCAACUUGAAACUAAGCUUUUGCUACAAAAAAAGUCAAAUUUGAUACGGGUAUUUGAUUGGGAUAACUAACUCAAGUGGGUAGUUAACAUAAAUGUUAUAAAUUAAAUGAACUUUUCUUGCAUUUCUAUGUUUCUAUGACUGGGUCGAGUGUAGAUCGAUUCAACAGACUGAUUGUAGAAUGGUUGUGUUUGUAAAUCUGAUUGUCAAGCAAACCGGUUAAAACUUAAGUAUUGGAUCUGCAAUAGUAUUAAUAAUGGAUUUGUUGUAAAGAGUAGUUAGUUACCUUUUAGACCUAUUACUAACUAAAUAUCACCCCAACAAAAUUGCAUGUAUACAUAAAAUAGAGCUUCAAAUAUUAUUUUCUUUCACUUAUACCAACACACUGUCAUUGGUCAACAGAAACCAAAGCAGUUGUAUCAAAGAAAGCUAAGCCGUUUUCCCAUUAAAACAAGAAGAAAUCAGCAAAUACUUUUUAGUCAAGUAGUUGAAGUUUAGCAGCUAUGUUCUAUAGUGAAGCAGCAACAAAGUGUCCAUUUUUGCCUUUUUAUGUCUUCAAAUCUUAUAAACAAAAACCAAUGCUAUAAUUAUUUUUUUGUCAACUUUGCUCUUCAAAUAUUGUCAUUAGAGCAAAUAUCUCGUGGGAGUAAACUCAAUAUGGGACACAUAGCACUAAAUGAAAACAUGCCCCAUUUUCCCCACUUUGGCGGCUGGGUGGUAUGGGACACAUAGCACUAAAUGAAAACAUGCUCUUCAAAUAUUGUCAUUAGAGAAAAAAUAAUUAGGUGUUUAUACUCAAAUGCCGAAUUGGCCACUUUAACCCGAUUUAAGCUUUAAUCUUUACUAUCGAAACUAGAUAGGUAUUUAUGAGAUUAAUUCUCAACCCAAAUAACUAGGUGUUUAUUGCAAAACUUUGAAAGUUUUUUUUUAAAGAAUACAGUUUACAGGUUGUUAUUGUCGAUUUUAUUUGAGAACAACCAGGAAAGAAAGUUACAUGUGAUUGAAGUAGCAUUUGAUUAUUAACAUCACUUUGUUUUUGAUGUUUCAGUUAUUGUGUCCUGUUAGAUGUCAAUCAUGAAGAUUUCAAGUCUGGCUUGGAGGCUCUUCUAAAGAGGAGGCAGACGACACUCACUGUUGAUGGAAGGAGGAGUAGAGGUAGGCCGAAAAUGACUUGGGGGGAGCGGAUUAGGCAAGAUUUGCCAGCUUUGCACCUCUCCGUUGAUUCAGCGACCAAGGUGUUGGUGGGUAAGCUCAUUUAGUCCAAAAAGCUUUAUUUCCAGACUCAAUAUAGAUUGAAGAAUAUAGAAUACGGAGCCACGAAGGUGGCAAGAUGGCCGGGUUGAAAAGAGCCAUUCCAGGUCGGUUGAAGAAAUCUGUAAUGAUUUGUGAUUUUUUUUCUCAUUCAUGUAUUUCAAUUAUUUAGUCUACUCUAAUAUUUGCGUUAGUAGUUUAACAUUUAUAUAAUUAAAAUAUUUGUGUCAACAUUGUUAAAGGAAAUAUAUUUUUUUUUGAAAGCCA